rnacentral:lncRNA from 1 species
UCAUGUUACCCCAACCUACAUGAUACCCGGUAAGGGGAAAUCCUCAAAAUUAGAAGAAUGGGGGAUAAGUCCCCAAAUCUUCUCUUAUCUUAAACAAUCCAGUGAAUAUUCAACCAUAUUCUAAAACUUUUUUCAAGUUAUCGUGAUGUACUUUUGUUUUCAUUCUUACUCAAACUUGAAUAUGUACUUUCUGUAUAACUAAGUGAGCAUGAUUCAUAUAAAAUAACUACAUGGAUUUAGGACUUAGGAUUAGUAACUGAAUAAAGCAAGACAAGUUAUUACCUGAUGCGAACUCUAUAUGUAACCUUGUUGUCCUUGUCUUGAAUAGUUUCCGAUCUCUUUCCUCUAGCUGUUGUUUUUUGUGUUUCUUCUUGCUUUUGUGUAAUCUGAUAGAACUAUGCGUACGCUUAUGCUUUGUUUUCUAUUAUAAUAAUUUCUCUCUCUCAGAAAACUUAUCUCUCUCACUUUUCUGUGUUACUCUCUGCUUGCAGUUGUUUUCUGGCAUCUAUCUACCUCUCCUUUUUAUAGUUGAUUAUGGACCUUGUAGCUGAUUCAGAGCACCUCUUAGGCUGCCCAAAUAAUUGCUAGCCAUUAUGUUAAUUGUAACUGACAUAGCAAUAACACUGCCAUGCAUUUGUUUCAUACCAUUUUAUUUGAAAUCAUGUUUAUUCAUGGCUGAUUUUUUUUCUAAAACGUGUAAUUGAAAUGAGGUAGAAUUCCUAGUGUAUAUCUCCAUUAUUAUUGCCACAUUUGAAAUUAUGCGUGUUGAUAAACCCACGGCUGGACCGCUUUUCUGAUUCCAUUUUGAUUACUUCAUGAUUGCUGCUAUUUAUGUGGCUUGUGUAACUAGUAUACUCAAUUCAUGGCUUGCAUUUUUUUAUUGUAACUGAAAUGAUAACAAUGUAUCCUUGCAUCUUUUGUGUGCCAUUUUAUUUGGAAUUUUGCUGUUUCACGGCUGACCUUCCUUUAUCCUCAUUAGAAUGUGUAACUGAAAAUGAAUAUGUCAUGUGGUUUGCCGCUGGCUAAUUGUUUCUUUUGAUUACAAGAUAUAUUAUUAUACAACUUCAGUUACUAAUCAAUGAGGAUUUACACAUGUGCCAGUAACUUUCUGGCUUCCAACCCUUGUGAUCUGGAACAAACUCUUUCUUAUUUCAGUACAUGUAUGGUAAUGUGCUAAUAGAGUUGUUAUACUGGACUCAGUGCUCUUUUAGUGGUUCAAUUUUAGUGUUUAAAUUGAAGAUUCAAACUGUAUGGAGACGUUUCUGCAUUCAGUUUAUUAAUUCUUUACAUAACUCCCAUGUAUUCCGUUUCAAGGUAUUUCAUUCUACUCAUAUUAGCUCAUAAGAUGAUGAGAUGCACAUUUUUAUGGUUCUUCUAGGUACACACAGAGCACCCGUGUGGCAUCUAAGGAGUAUCUUUAUGAAGGUUUGGACUAGCCCCCAUCCAAUAAGAUAGUUGUUGGCAUCUUAGAGAUCAACGAAUGACAAGAAGUCGGUCCUCCGAAUCACACCUUGGAUAUGUGUUCUUUAAAAUCAUAAUGGAAAGAGGUACCUAAAAUAAUGGUUUUACUUCACUCCAUCCCAAAGUAUCAAUAUCUUUCAUCAAUAACUCAUUUUUAUUUUUACCUUAUAUGCACAAGCCCCAUAUGUUUAUCCACUUUCUUUGCAGCCAGGGGUAUGCUGAUAUCUGAAAUGUUCAAGUAAUGCAAGGUGCUAUGAUGCUGGAUUGUGUUCUUGUUUGACUUAUGGAAAAGCUUUAUUGGACCAUAAAGAACCCAUGGGGAGAUAGUCGGACAUUACAAAAUCUGCAGAGGUUACAACUUGUGUAGAGUUGAUUCUAUGAUCUCAACUGCAACAUCUAUUCUUAUAUCUACUCAUUGUAUCAGAUAGUAAACACGAGGGUGCCUUGUCUUGGAGUUGGUAUAAAUAUGUAGUAUUCUUUCCUUUCAUUCUAGCAUAACGUCACACUUUUGAUUGAUUGUGGAGUUUCUGAAUUUCUGAAUUUAGGCAAGUGUUCCAUGAUCAGGGAUGUCUUGGACAACAUAUUUUUUAUUUAUGUCAAAUGUCCUAAGUAUCAAGCUCCUUUGGGUUCCCCAUGUCGGACAGCAACGCAAAGCCAUUGGCAUUUAUAGAACUUUAUUGAUAAUGUAUAACGAAAUGUAAUAAAUGUUGUAUAGCCUAUGUGGUAUCAACUAUGUGGCUAAUCUUCUCUUCUGUUGGGGAUUUACCUGAUUUUGGCUUUUAAUAAUAUCAUGGCCAUAAACUAGCAUCUUGACAAAACUAUGC